GUUGGCAUGAGUGAAAAGUUCAUCAUGGGUCCUCUGGAAAUCUCCUACCUUUGUGAGCAAAGAUUACUGCAGGGUGGAAGACAGGUCCAUGAUUGCCCAGGCUGCAGUGCAAGAAGUAUGAUGGCACCAUAUCUCAUCUUGCACCUCAAUGAUCAUCUAACAAGAAUCCUUCUGCAGAUCCCAUCUAAAAUUACAUUUCCAGGCAUUCCACAUAACCGGAGGAAAAAAAACAUGGAUCCUAUGGAAAGUAGGUCAGGAACCCAACUCU
rnacentral:lncRNA from 1 species